GAUGAACGCUGGCGGCGUGCCUAAUACAUGCAAGUCGAGCGAACAGACGAGGAGCUUGCUCCUCUGACGUUAGCGGCGGACGGGUGAGUAACACGUGGAUAACCUACCUAUAAGACUGGGAUAACUUCGGGAAACCGGAGCUAAUACCGGAUAAUAUAUUGAACCGCAUGGUUCAAUAGUGAAAGACGGUUUUGCUGUCACUUCUAGAUGGUUCCGCGCCGCAUUAGCUAGUUGGUAAGGUAACGGCUUAUCAAGGCAACGAUGCGUAGCCGACCUGAGAGGGUGAUCGGCCACACUGGAACUGAGACACGGUCCAGACUCCUACGGGAGGCAGCAGUAGGGAAUCUUCCGCAAUGGGCGAAAGCCUGACGGAGCAACGCCGCGUGAAUGAUGAAGGUCUUCGGAUCGUAAAACUCUGUUAUUAGGGAAGAACAAAUGUGUAAGUAACUAUGCACGUCUUGACGGUACCUAAUCAGAAAGCCACGGCUAACUACGUG
rnacentral:rRNA from 1 species